rnacentral:lncRNA from 1 species
AGGUCGACUCAACCCCAUAUCCAGCACAUUACAGGCUAUACCCUGCCCUGCUGGAUUGUGGGUAAGCUCCCUGGAUUACAAUGGCAGCUGCUGGGUUCUUGCUGCUGUGAUUCAUCUGUUUGGUCUUGUUUGCCUUGGAUUUCAGCCACCCGUGUUUCAGAAGGUGCUGAGCUGGCCACUGUUCUUGGCCUCAGAACACAGAGCAAGAUAGUGGGAAGGCAGAGGGAGAGGAAGAGAGAAUUUCAAGAAGACUCCCCACUGAGCACAGAGCCCAACUUGGGGCCCUAUCUACAACCCUGAGAUCAUGACCUGAGCCAAAAUCAAAAGUCAGAUACUUAACCGACUGAGCCACCCAGACGCUCUCCUCUUAAUUCUUACAAUGACCCUAUGAUGUAUAAGAGUUUUCAGUCCAAUUAAAAAAAUAUUACCCCCAAAUCCCAUGGCUGGUAAGUCGCAGAGCUUGGAUUCAAAUCCAAGUUCAGUGCUUUCCCCCUUAUUUUAAUGGCUAUUUUGAAUAUUAUUCAAUAAAGGUUAUCUUCACUCUUUAUGCUUAAAAUAUGUGCUGCAUUCUUAAGUGUGUUUCUGAUUAUAUUUCAGGGCCAAAUUAUUUCCAUAGAAAUGUACCUCUAAUUUUAUAAUGAUAUCAGUGGGGAAAUAAAAGAGGCAGUAUGGAAUUUUGCUCUACUGCCAACUCCAUGGGAGGGAUAAAAAAAUUAUAAGCCUAGAACUUGAAGAUGGGAAAAAGUUAGCAAUGUCAUAGCACUAUUGUUAUCAAAGUAAGAUAUGGAAAAGUAGAAAAGCACCUUUAUUUCUAAGGAGAUUUCCAAGGACCCUGAACUUUAUCACCAUACAGUUCAUUGUAAAGUGGAGGCAAUAUAAGACAGGCAACACCCUGUAUCUACAAAAGACUCUCAUUCAUGACUCAAGUCCCAGGGAUAUUGUUAUAAGUGACCUAACUUACAAAGAAAGCACAAUGAGAUUUUAUGAUGAGGAUCUUAUGUCUUUUUUACACAUUCGGUUAUAAAAUAAAGAAACAAUUCAGGUCAUUGUACCCAGUAUUAGACUAAAGGGGUCAGCAACACAUAGUAGGCUGUGUAGCCACGUACAACAACCUUGCACCACUGUUCAGGGCAGGAAGCAAGGAUAAAUUAUGCUGAUAGGUUAUGAAGUGGUAACAUUAUUUGUGCCUUUUCUUUUGGCCAUGGCGCUCAAGUUCCCUAUUACCCGCUCCUUUGAAACAAUUCUACUGAAAAAUGCAAAAUAGCUCAGUCCAUUCAUUUUCCUUAAGUUCCCUUAAAAUAAAACACCAAAGCUGUAAUUUGCUAAUCAUAUUUCAUCAUUCCU